rnacentral:rRNA from 1 species
GACGAACGCUGGCGGCGUGCUUAACACAUGCAAGUCGAACGGACAGACCAUGCGCUUGUUCCUUUCUCGUUUGCGGCAGACGUGUGUGUAACAUGUGUAUCCCCUCCCUGUAUUUUGGAUAUAUUUUCGGGACUCCGGCGCUAAUCCCGUAUAAUCUCUUGCUCCAUAUUGUUCAUUAGAGAGUUUCGGCUUUUCUGUAACUUCUAGAUGGAUCCCCGCUGCAUUAGCUAGUUGUUAAGGUACCGGUCUACCACGGCAACGAUGCGUAGCCGAGCUGAGAGGGUGAUAGGCCACACUGGAACUGAGACACGGUCCAGACGCCUAAGGGAGGCAGCAGUAGGGAAUCUGCCGCAAUGGGCGAAAGCAUGACGGAGCAACGCCGCGUGAGUGGUGAAGGUCUUCGGAUCGUAAAACUCUGUUAUUAGGGAAGAACAAAUGUGUAAGUAACUAUGCACGUCUUGACGGUACCUAAUCAGAAAGCCACGGCUAACUACGUG